GGUUCAUGAAAGUUUUCACAUUCAGCUUCUUCUGGAGUUUCUUCCAGUGGUUCUAUUCUGGUGGAGAUCACUGUGGAUUUGCCAACUUCCCCACGUUCGGGUUGAAAGCUUGGAAGCAAUCGUUUUUCUUUGAUUUCGACAUGACUUAUGUGGGAGCUGGAAUGAUUUGUUCUCACCUUGUGAACUUCUCUUUGCUUCUUGGAGCUGUGCUCUCUUGGGGUAUCAUGUGGCCUCUAAUUACUGAUCGCGACGGAUAUUGGUUCCCUUCAAGUUUACCACAGAGCAGUAUGAAGAGUCUAAUGGGUUACAAGGUUUUUAUCUCCAUUGCUCUUCUCCUGGGAGAUGGCCUUUACAAUUUUGUCAGGACACUUUAUUUCACUUUUAGAAACAUAUAUGCCACGCUGAAAACAAAAAGGCCUGAAUCAUCACCCUCAGAAGCCAAGAAUCUUCCACUUGAAGAGCUGCAGAGAAACGAAAUAUUCAUCAGAGAGAGCAUUCCCUUCUGGCUAGCUUGUAUUGGCUACUUGAUCUUUUCCCUUAUCUCCAUCAUUGUCAUUCCAAUUAUGUUCCCUGCGUUGAAGUGGUAUUAUGUGCUCGUUGCCUAUGUUUUUGCACCAGCUUUGAGCUUCUGCAAUGCUUAUGGUGC
rnacentral:misc_RNA from 1 species